rnacentral:rRNA from 1 species
AGAGUUGAUCAUGGCUCAGGAUGAACGCUGGCGGCGUGCCUAACACAUGCAAGUCGAACGGGGUUAAGGGAAGUUUCGGAUGGAACUUAACUUAGUGGCGGACGGGUGAGUAACGCGUGGAUAACCUGCCUCGCACUGGGGGAUAGCAGCUGGAAACGGCUGGUAAUACCGCAUAAGACCACGGUGCCGCAUGGCAUUGGGGUAAAAGAUUUAUCGGUGCGAGAUGGAUCCGCGUCUGAUUAGCCAGUUGGCGGGGUAACGGCCCACCAAAGCGACGAUCAGUAGCCGGCCUGAGAGGGUGAACGGCCACAUUGGGACUGAGACACGGCCCAAACUCCUACGGGAGGCAGCAGUGGGGAAUAUUGCACAAUGGGCGCAAGCCUGAUGCAAGCAACGCCGCGUGAGUGAAGAAGUAUUUCGGUAUGUAAAGCUCUAUCGGCAGGGAAGAAAGGCCCGAAAGGGAGAUGACGGUACCUGACUAAGAAGCCCCGGCUAACUACGUGCCAGCCGCCGC